rnacentral:lncRNA from 1 species
UGAGGGCUGUAGAGUUAGUGGAUAAGGGGUCCCCGCAGAAACGGAGGACGGUGUUUUGGGUCCCUGAAUCCAAUGGGGGAGCAACCAGUGAGGAGUGGAGAACCAAACCCUGUCCUGCCUCCUGUCAGCGGGAUGCCUUUGGGUAAGACCCGGGAGACGCUGUUCCGUGUCAUGUACGAAGCGGCAUCCUAAUCAAUAAUGUUUCCCAGCACCAUUGCAAACAUCGGACUGCAAAACGCAGACCUGGCUGUCGGCACAGGACUGGCCGCUUUGAAGGAAAAAGCUUCCAUGAAUCUUACGGCUACAGAAAAGUGAGUUCUGUGAACAACCCGAGGACCUUGAAAGUGGAUCCUUCCCCAGUCAAGCCUCUGAUGAGCCCAGCCAACAUCUUGACCGUAGCAUUGGGAAACACUAAACAGAGGCUCCAACGAAGCUAUGCCCAGACUCCUGACCCACAGAAACUGUAAGAUAAUAAACAUAUGAUGUUU